rnacentral:rRNA from 1 species
GAUGAACGCUGGCGGCGUGCCUAAUACAUGCAAGUCGAGCGAACAGAUGAGAAGCUUGCUUCUCUGAUGUUAGCGGCGGACGGGUGAGUAACACGUGAGUAACCUACCUAUAAGACUGGGAUAACUCCGGGAAACCGGGGCUAAUACCGGAUAAUAUUUUGAACCGCAUGGUUCAAUAGUGAAAGACGGUUUCGGCUGUCACUCAUAGAUGGACCCGCGCCGUAUUAGCUAGUUGGUAAGGUAACGGCUUACCAAGGCGACGAUACGUAGCCGACCUGAGAGGGUGAUCGGCCACACUGGAACUGAGACACGGUCCAGACUCCUACGGGAGGCAGCAGUAGGGAAUCUUCCGCAAUGGGCGAAAGCCUGACGGAGCAACGCCGCGUGAGUGAUGAAGGUCUUCGGAUCGUAAAACUCUGUUGUUAGGGAAGAACAAAUUUGUUAGUAACUGAACAAGUCUUGACGGUACCUAACCAGAAAGCCACGGCUAACUACGUGCCAGCAGCCGCGGUAA